UACGUAGGGUGCAAGCGUUAAUCGGAAUUACUGGGCGUAAAGCGUGCGCAGGCGGUUUUGUAAGCCAGAUGUGAAAGCCCCGGGCUCAACCUGGGAAUGGCAUUUGGGACUGCAAGGCUUGAGUGCGGCAGAGGAGACUGGAAUUCCUGGUGUAGCAGUGAAAUGCGUAGAUAUCAGGAGGAAUACCGAUGGCGAAGGCAGGUCUCUGGGCUGACACUGACGCUCAUGCACGAAAGCGUGGGGAGCAAAUAGG
rnacentral:rRNA from 1 species